AUGUUGUUGCUUUCGGGCCCACGCAAAAAAAGAGAAUUGGCUUCUGUUGGUAAGUGGCAGGGGCUGAACAAUGUAGUGGUUGUGCAAAGCUUGACAUCUGAGCUGACAAAAGAGCAACUUGCUGAUUUCCAAGCUAUUGUUUUUACCGAUGUUAGUUUUGAGAAAGCCAUUGAGUUCAAUGAUUACUGUCAUAUCCAUCAACCUCCUAUUGCUUUUAUCAAAACUAAAGUUAGAGGCCUUUAA